GACAAAUGUUAUUAAAUCCAAAUCGAUAGAUAGUGAAAGCAAACCAAUGGCAACAAACUUGUAGCAGUUGUAAGAACAUAAUUCAUAAUAAUCGCGAUUAUUUCUAAGGGAAAGUGACACAUCUAACUCAAGUAGAGGCUACAUCUUCUGAGUCCUAGGAAAACAAGGGAGUACAUAAUCUACUCUGGUACCAUGUUGCAACAUAUCCAUGUUGACUACAAGUGCAUGGCAAUUCAGUAACAUCAAAUGUCGUAUCCACCAGAAAUGGGGACACACUCGGAGAAGGAUGAGGCUCAUUGUUGUUGUGUACUCCCUAGCAGUACCGAAUUGUUGAACUUUCUAAUAAUUUAAUAUUGGCAUAUAAUUGACGUUGCCAAAGCUCAAAGCUCAAAACUCAAGAACAGAACUAAGUUGUGCACUUAUGGGACAUUCAUAACUUGAAUGGACUGCAGCAUAUCAGAAACAGCGAUGAUGAGGUCACCUGACUUGAUCAUGCCCCGAGCUUUUAGUAGGGAGAAAGUUUUGUUUAGGUUGCUUUCCAUAUCAUCAGAGUAAUUCAAGCGGAAAGGCAUUAGACCCCAUUGCAGGUUCAGGCGUCUACGUACAGAUGUUGCUGUCGUAAAUGCAAAUAUUGGGCAAUCAGGGCGACAGCGUGACAAGAGAGAUGCCAUGUGCCCAUUCUUGGUGUAAACAAAAAGAGCAUCAACUUCCAAAUUGUUAGCCAUCUUGGCGGCAGAGUUGCAAAUUUCUUCUGAAAUACUAUCAGAAAAUGAAGAUGCUAUGGAUGGCAAUUCAAUAACUUCGCGGCGUUUCUGUUCUCUCCACCUUCUUUCGAUUCUCAAGCUAACAGUUCUUAGAACAGUCAAUGCCUUCUCAGGAAAUUGUCCCAUGGCCGACUCACCAGAAAGCAUCAAAGCAUCCCCCCGUUGCCUAACUGCUUCGGAAACAUCAGCAACUUCAGCUCUAGUUGGAAUAGGGUAUUCAAUCAUAGAUUCCAACAACUGGGAAGCUACUAUAACAGGCCUAUUCAGCUGCCUGCAUAGCUGAACAAUCUUUUGCUGCUCUGAUGGAACCUGUUCUAAUGGAAUUUGAGCACCAAGAUCUCCUCUUGCCACCAUAGCACCAUCUGAUGCCUGAAUUAUUUCUUCUAGGUUCCUCAACGAGUCAAUGCUCUCUAUCUUUGCAAUUACAGCAAUAUCACCAUCCCGGGCCCUGGCUUUAAUGUAGCUCUUAAGAUGCUUAAUGACUUCAGCAGACUUGACAAAUGAU
rnacentral:misc_RNA from 1 species